UGUUCAUGCGCGUCUUCGGUGGUGUUGACGCCGGCUCCGUGCACGAAGUGACGCUUGGAGAGCGGAAUAUUCAUGGAGCUGCGGACACGGACAACGGGCGCCAGUUAACGAAUCCCGGAUCACUUCUCCCGCCUCUUCACUCCAGUUGACAGCCACACUCGGGGAAACGAAGGUGCCGCUCUGGUGUGGCGCCUCACCGCGCGUGAUGGGAAAAUCAACAGCGGCGUUCGCCCUGUCAACGAGGCAGUCGGUCCUACAUUUCUUUUGGUUGGACAAGACGACGUAGGAAAAGAGAUACCGUUUUUCAUGGUGCUCACGCUGAACAGGAGCGACAACCUAGCAAGUCACAAGUCUGAUGCUUCCAGCCGUCACCACUUUUUGAUUUAUUCUUAAUCAUAAGGAAUAAAGAUUGAGACAUGAUGCCCAUUUCUGCAGUUUAUUUUGCACUAUAUGACACUAUGCACAUCAGUCACACAUUUUAGUUGGCUAUAGUAUACUGAUAGAAGCAUGUAAAUGGGGAAUACCCAAACUUCUUAAUUGGAAAUCAAACACCGUCUUUUCGUGCUUUCUAUAUAACUUUGCUGGAAAAUACGUGUUGUUUUGACGAGUUUUAUUAAAAUAACGCUAAAACUGAACUAUUCUUUUUUUUUUGCAGUCGCUGGGCAG